CAGAAACACCGAUGAAUCGUUGUCGCUUUGCUUAGUGUUCUGCUUCGCACCUGCGUGUUUGACAGUUAGCCGCUAGCCAGACACCUAGCCAGGGAGAGGCUAUACCAAAGACGGUACAUCAUGAAGAUCAUCGGGCACGCUUGUUGGCGAUGUUGGCUAGCAAAGCUCAUACGUAGAAACACGUUAUCGGGUCGUCUCGCGCCGAACUGCGCAUGUGCAUGUCGUCAACUCAGAGGCACUCCUAUAUAAAGUUGUUUUUGACGAAAAUGAAAACGUGUCAGUUUGUGACUCUCACAGGGUUGGAGUAAUAACAAGUUCAACUACAUAAGACAUUGGCUCGAAUCUAGGUUGUUCCUUUAGAUUUCGAGAAAACGUAUAAGUAAGUAAGAUCCCGGAAGUCUCGCGAUGUUACGCCUUCUGUCUUUGGCUAUAUGGACACACCUGGUGCCCAAAUUGAUGACGUAUGUAAGUAUAUCGCGCAGCUGAGAGUCAAGUGUGGAGUUUUGCAAUUGUUUUAGAUGCAAUUCCCGCAGAUGCGGAUUUAUUAUUGAGGAACGUGUCAAGACCUGGGCCCUGUUUCAGAAAGCAGGUUUAACAAACUCUGAGUUUAAACCUGAACUCUGGGUUGACUAACUCUGAGCUGUCAAACUCUUGAGUUUUCGGUUUCAGAGGAGGUGAUAACAAUUAGUUCAAUCAACUCUGAGUUAAGUUAACCCUGAGUAAAGCACGUGCAUGAGGAGAUAAAAAGCCCUAAUCAAAGGAACGCAGAUAACAUGAUUCAUCAUGGCAACAGGAGAAAAGGGCUCCAACCUCCUACUUGCCCAGUGGAGUUAGAAAUAUUAACAUAUGCAGAAUAUGAGCAUAUAUUUAAGGAAAAAAGCAAUGCAGCAGCAAAAGAACGUGAGUUGGCGUGGCAGAAAAUUGUUGAUCGAGUCAAUGCCCACUGAAGAUGAAAUAUACUUCAAACAGGUAAGGUAUAAUUUCAUUACAAGCAAUUGUGAUGUUGUUUAGCCUACCAUACCUAAUUAAACAGCAUUCAGUGGCAACAUUUUACAUUUACAUUUUAGUCAUUUAGCAGACGCUCUUAUCCAGAGCGACUUACAGUAGUGAAUGCAUACAUUUCAUACAUAUUUUUUUUCUUCAUUUUUUUUCAUACUGGUCCCCUGUGGGAAACAAACCCACAACCCUGGCGUUGCAAACACCAUGCUCUACCAACGGAGCCACACAGGACCACUAAUUGUCACCCUUUGAGCAUGUUUGGGGUGCUCUGGAUCGACGUGUACGACAGCGUGUUCCAGUUCCCGCCAAUAUCCAGCAACUUUGCACAGCCAUUGAAGAGGAGUGGUCACACCAGAUACUGACUGUUUUUUUGAUCCAUGCCCCUACCUUUAAAAAAAAAGUUAUCUGUGACCAAGAGAUGCAUAUCUGUAUUUCCAGUCAUGUGAAAUCCAUCAAAUCUAUUACAAUUGACUGAUUUCCUUAUGUACUGUAACUUAGUAAAAUAUUUUAAACUGUUGCAUCAUUCAACCUAUAAUAUAUUUAAGUAUUUCAUGACAUUUUCUAAGCAAAAAAAAAGUGUGUUUUUCAGCCAUCCCAACACUGCCAGUAUUUGAAAGUAACAUUUAAAUUCCUUUAUACAUACAAGUCUCUGAAUUUGUGCUUACUGGACAUGUUCACAUUUGACCUCAAUUAUAACCAAUAGAAAAAGGCUUAGGGCUGCAAAACAGGUGGGGGUCCACCACCACUCAGAGGCUGAAGAGAUAUCCCUCAGUCAAAACAGUGGGUGACCUGAUGAAGGUAUCUUUGGAGGAAGCUCAUCUGUACCCCCCCCCCAGGACACAAGGGCCAACAUAAGAGUUUAGUUAUUCAAAUUAAUGAUUUGUACAUUCAUCCUUUUGCCAGUGUUACCUCAGUGACACCCACCCAUCCAUCUGACACAACUUUGCACACUGAUUUUCUUUAGAGGUACAAUUAUUUGUAAUUGACUUGUUACUUUUUUCAGAUUCUUAGUUGUCCUUCAGAUGUCAUAAUCUAUUUUAAGGUGACUCAGAAUUAUAUAUUUGAAAAAUUGUGAUGUGGCCUACACACUGUUGUAAAACCAAAAUUCAAAUUAUGUGGGGCACUUUUCUGGGUAAAGUUACAAUUGAACUGUCUAAUCUUAAUAUUCUACCAGUUACUGAUGGUGUAAUCUGUCUGGAGCCUUCUGCCAUAACAGACCUCCAUGCAGUUGUAAGUACUCUUAAUACGCCACAGAUUUGUCAUGUGUUUAGAGUAGAACACCAAAAUUGUUAAUUUUCAUUACAGGAGGAUGAAGACACCUUGUCAGCUGCCACAGAGAGGGAAAAUACAGAGAGGCCUAUUGACGUUUACACCUUAAAAAUUACAUCUAACAGUUGAUGGUGUUGUACCAUAAUAAAACUUGCACCUUUUUCUCUAACAGAGCAAUGCUGGAAAUUACACCUACACAGCACAAUUUACCUCAGUAAGAUUUUGUUCAGCAUUGGCCCAUUACUUACAAUGAAAUUAAGUAGACCUGGCACUGAAAUUCAAUGUCAUUUUUUUGUGUUCCUAUAGCUCCCUGUGAAACAGCUGUACUAUGUGUACUUAAAGAACCAAAUUGAAAAAUGUAAUUUAGAUUUUACUUGUUUGAACAUAAAAGUAUUACUGUACUGCAUUUGUACUUGCAGGAAAUAAAG
rnacentral:lncRNA from 1 species